rnacentral:rRNA from 1 species
GGCAGACGGGUGAGUAACGCGUGGGAACGCGCCCUUCAGUUCGGAAUAACCCAGGAAACUUGGGCUAAUACCGGAUACGUGCGAGAGCAGAAAGAUUUAUCGCUGAAGGAUCGGCCCGCGUCUGAUUAGCUAGUUGGUAGGGUAAUGGCCUACCAAGGCGACGAUCAGUAGCUGGUCUGAGAGGAUGAUCAGCCACAUUGGGACUGAGACACGGCCAAACUCCUACGGGAGGCAGCAGUGGGGAAUAUUGGACAAUGGGCGCAAGCCUGAUCCAGCCAUGCCGCGUGAGUGAUGAAGGCCUUAGGGUUGUAAAGCUCUUUCGUCCGGGACGAUAAUGACGGUACCGGAAGAAGAAGCCCCGGCUAACUUCGUGCCAGCAGCCGCGG